rnacentral:rRNA from 1 species
UACGUAGGGGGCUAGCGUUGUCCGGAAUCAUUGGGCGUAAAGCGCGUGUAGGCGGUCCGGUAAGUCCGCUGUGAAAGUCGGGGGCUCAACCUCGGAUGCCGGUGGAUACUGUCGGGCUUGAGUACGGAAGAGGCGAGUGGAAUUCCUGGUGUAGCGGUGAAAUGCGCAGAUAUCAGGAGGAACACCAGUUGGCGAAGGCGGACUCGUGG